AGAGUUUGAUCCUGGCUCAGAUUGAACGCUGGCGGAACGCUUUACACAUGCAAGUCGAACGGUAACGCGGAGAGAAGCUUGCUUCUCUCCGGCGACGAGUGGCGAACGGGUGAGUAAUACAUCGGAACGUGUCCGCUCGUGGGGGACAACCAGCCGAAAGGUUGGCUAAUACCGCAUGAGUUCUACGGAAGAAAGAGGGGGACCCGCAAGGGCCUCUCGCGAGCGGAGCGGCCGAUGACUGAUUAGCCGGUUGGUGAGGUAACGGCUCACCAAAGCAACGAUCAGUAGCUGGUCUGAGAGGACGACCAGCCACACUGGGACUGAGACACGGCCCAGACUCCUACGGGAGGCAGCAGUGGGGAAUUUUGGACAAUGGGCGCAAGCCUGAUCCAGCUAUUCCGCGUGUGGGAUGAAGGCCCUCGGGUUGUAAACCACUUUUGUAGAGAACGAAAAGACACCUUCGAAUAAAGGGUGUUGCUGACGGUACUCUAAGAAUAAGCACCGGCUAACUACGUGCCAGCAGCCGCGGUAAUACGUAGGGUGCGAGCGUUAAUCGGAAUUACUGGGCGUAAAGGGUGCGCAGGCGGUUGAGUAAGACAGAUGUGAAAUCCCCGAGCUUAACUCGGGAAUGGCAUAUGUGACUGCUCGACUAGAGUGUGUCAGAGGGAGGUGGAAUUCCACGUGUAGCAGUGAAAUGCGUAGAUAUGUGGAAGAACACCGAUGGCGAAGGCAGCCUCCUGGGACAUAACUGACGCUCAGGCACGAAAGCGUGGGGAGCAAACAGGAUUAGAUACCCUGGUAGUCCACGCCCUAAACGAUGUUAACUAGUUGUUGGGAAGUAAUAUUCUCAGUAACGCAGCCAACGCGAGAAGUUAACCGCCUGGGAAGUACGGUCGCAAGACUAAAACUCAAAGGAAUUGACGGGGACCCGCACAAGCGGUGGAUGAUGUGGAUUAAUUCGAUGCAACGCGAAAAACCUUACCUACCCUUGACAUGUCAGGAAGCUCUUGUAAUGAGAGC
rnacentral:rRNA from 1 species